ACAGGGAGACAAUAACUGAUCGUGAUGUCUGAGCGCCGAGCAAGCGAAAGCUUGGGAAGCACAUUCGUCUCAGGCCACGGUCCUGUCAUCUCGAAGGUCGAUCGGUACCUCAAGGUGAGCCAUCAAAACCAAGGAGAUGUUCAAAGCGCUCGAAAGAGCGGGAUGAAUCCUCUAAGGAUAUUGUGAUGGACUCGUUUUCAGUUCCUAAACUUUGUCUAGGUCACCCCACAAAGGGUUUCUCAGUCAUUCCAAGGACUCAUAGCCGUCAAAGGUUUGGAGAUCAAGGGAGACACUGGAGACUUGUGUCGAAGUGAUUGAUCCUGGGCCAUUAGCUCAGGUGGUUAGAGCGCACCCCUGAUAAGGGUGAGGUCCCUGGUUCAAGUCCAGGAUGGCCCAUUCGUGUUUGGGGGUUUAGCUCAGUUGGUAGAGCGCCUGCUUUGCAAGCAGGAUGUCAGCGGUUCGAGUCCGCUAACCUCCAUCCAACAAGGAGAAGACCACCAGCAGAAAGCCGCAACAGGAUGCAUUUUGACCGGCGAGGUGACAAAGACCAUGUUCAGCUGAGGACUCCAGCCUCUUUUCAUUCCCAAUGGAUGAACUGCUAGUGAUAGUAAGUUUUAUCGAUGGUGGUUGAAAAGAAGCUGGACUCGCUGAUUUUGGCAUCUGCCAAAGAUCAGUGACUCUAGCAAAGAACCUUGACAACCGCAUAGGUGAGUCUGGAUAAAGAAAGCAUCUCAUAGAUGCCCAGACGAUUGCAAAUUCUACUUGGUACUGCCAGGUAUGGUGAGCGAUGGUCUGGGAGAUUCUUGAGUUUAGAGCCGAGAGCUGCCAGCGUCUUUUCGCUCCGCCGAGGAGGGAAGAGUUUGAUUCUGCUUUCAAACCAUCAAAGCCCCAGAGAGAUCGGGAAACCGAAGGAUCAAAUGGCAAAGAGAAGGAAAGCAGAAGAAUGGGUCUCAA
rnacentral:tRNA from 1 species